AAAACUAGCUCGUUCCGUGCACCGAGAGAAAGGAAACCAGCUAAAAGAGCAUUGGGGAGGCGCAUCGUUUCUUCCUACCCGCGAUUUCCUCGCCAUCCGGAUCCCUUGCGCCCAGGCCUCCGCUCCGCCGCCAUGCCCAGCCCGCGCGCUAUCUCCUCCCGUGCGCAGCCCUAUUUCGUUUUGGCGCACACCCAAAUCCUUUCCGCGCCAAUAUUCCAUCCAUCUAUUUAUCUGUAAGUCCUAAAUUUUCCCCAAUCACUCAUCCAGGAAGAAAAUCGUCAAAAUCCAUCCAUCCCCAAUCCAUCAUCCCUAAGGAAGGAAUUUGUUUUUUUAUUAUUAGAGAGGCCAAUCAAACUAAUUUAUAUAAAAAUUAAAUUAAAAUUCAAAAUUUCAAUAUAAAUUUGGGAGCCACAGAGGGGAGGCCCCUCCCCCCCCCCCCCGGUGUACGCCCCUGCCAAGAAUGAAGCGGAGGUAAAGUCCGCUCGCCGGUGGAGCUCCAAGAGCCGGCGGCGCUCUAAACGCCGGUGUUUCUCCCACUGCUGGUGCUCCAGUCUUCCAUCCUCCGGCCGUCCGUAGUGGUGCUCCAAGAGCAGCCCCUGUUCCAGAUGCUAGCAUCGAUCCAGGAGCUGGCAGUCCUCUAGGCGCUCGUGCUACAGUGACUGGUAGUUCAACAUUCCAUCUUCCUGGCGCAGGUGAUUAUCCAUUGAGGCCAAUAGCAUCUCCUGGUAGCUCGAACUGGAUGUAUCCACAAGGUGGUUUCAUGAAUUUUGUCCAGAGUACUAAGAUUCCACCAUUUACCCAGUCAUAUCCAUUUGUGAACUAUCAUAAUGGAAGUCAACGGCCAGAAAAUUUCCAUUUCGUUGGUAGCUCAAUGAGUCAGUCAACAAUGUCACCUACAGCUGCAUGUUCUAAAAGGACCCCAUCCCCAACUGGGAGCUCUGCUGUUGAUGCUGCACAAAUGGCGGGAUCACAAGAUCAAGAAACAAUUGAUGUUGUGGAUGACGACACCAUCCAGCCUGCUAGUUCCAAUGGUAGAUCAGAUGCUAGAACAGAUAGGCGAUUGAAUUGGUCAAACGAAGAAGAUAUUAGAUUGGUUAGUGCUUGGUUGCACAAUUCAAUUGAUCCAGUUGAGGGAAAUGAUAAGAAGUCUGAUCAAUAUUGGUACGAUGUUACUUCUACUUACAACAGCACCACAAAGUGCGACCGUAUGAGAAACCGUAACCAGCUGAAGCUUCGUUGGGAGCGCAUUAAGAAACCGGUCACUGAAUUCAAUGGCUGCUAUGCAAGAAUCAGUAAAGUACAUCAGAGUGGCAUGAGUGAUGACCAAAAGAUGGAUCAAGCCUUGCAGUUAUAUGCCUCUGAACACAGUGACAAGCCUUUCACAAUGAUGCAUGUAUGGAGGGUAUUACGACAUGAGCAGAAGUGGUCUGCGAAUGUGAAGAAACUAAACAGUGAAAAGGACAAGAGUGCAACUUCUAACCCUGCUCAGGAUGAUCCAAAGCAGCGUCCCAUUGGGCAUAAGAAGGCUAAAGAUGAACGCAACAGAAAACGUCCAGCACCGGAGCCUAUAUCUGCUAUUGAUCAGAAACUUGACAAGUUCAUUGAAGUAAGCAACAAAGCUGAGAACAUGGCAGAGGUGCAACAAAGUUUGGAAAAUAAGAAGCUAGAAGUGGCCAAGCUUAAUCAUAAAGCAGCCCAAGAACAAACAAAGAGUAAAAUGGUAGACCUUUACAAAGAAUUAUUGUGUGCUCCCACAACUGAUCUUAGUGAUGAAGCUUUGGCUGAGAGAUCCAAAGCAAUGGAGUCUAUGAGAUUGGCUCUGUUUGAUAAAGAUAAUUGAGCACCUGAGAGGAGAAGGUCCUCAAGUGCAGUAUUAUGUCAAUGGAAGGCAGUACAACAAUGGUUACUACCUUGCAGAUGGCAUAUAUCCAGAGUGGGCUGCUUUUGUUAAGUCAAUACGCCAUCCACAAUCAGAAAAACAUAAAUUAUUUGCAGAACAUCAAGAAGGUGCAAGGAAGGAUGUUGAAUGUGCUUUUGGUAUUUUACAAUCUCGCUUUAGUAUUUUGAAACGACCUGCACGUCUAUUUGAUCAAGGGGAUCUUGAGAAUAUUAUUCUAGCUUGUAUCAUUCUUCACAACAUGGUAAUCCAGAAUGAGAAAGGUUUGGAACCUAUUCCUCUUGAUUUGAAUGAGACACCGAGCACAUCUACUGUGCGAGAAGCAACAAUCUCUCAAGGACCUAACCCAGAAAUGCAAGAAAUGAUACAAAGAAAUGCUACUAUUCGUGGCCUGCUCAUAGACAACUUCAAUCAGACUUGAUUGAGCAUAUCUGGCAGAAGUUUGGGAAUUAAAAUUAAUUAGAUCAGGUCUUGCCAAUUUGAUGUUGCUGUGCAGCUGGAGAAUCGCUCGUGUCUACCAAAAUUCUACCUUUUGAUGUCAGCAGACUACCUAAAUUAUCCUAGCAUAUAGUGUCAUAUUAUCUGUUAUUUCAGUGUCAUGAUGAUUGAUGAUAGUUUCUAUCUAACUUAAUUACAAUGACACUUAAGCAAAUUGCUGACGUGGCACUAGAGUUAAUACAGAGAGAGAUUGAAAAACAAA